GCCGGCGUGGAGCAAUAGUAGCUUAUUGGCCUCCUAUCCGGAGCUCAGCCAAAGGUUGCGGGUGCAAGUCCCGUCGUCGGUA
rfam:Colletotrichum higginsianum, IMI 349063, WGS project CACQ02000000 data, contig: cont1.1718